UACGUAGGGUGCAAGCGUUAAUCGGAAUUACUGGGCGUAAAGCGUGCGCAGGCGGCUUUGCAAGACAGAUGUGAAAUCCCCGGGCUCAACCUGGGAACUGCAUUUGUGAUUGCAUGGCUAGAGUGUGUCAGAGGGGGGUAGAAUUCCACGUGUAGCAGUGAAAUGCGUAGAUAUGUGGAGGAAUACCGAUGGCGAAGGCAGCCCCCUGGGAUAACACUGACGCCUCAUGCACGAAAGCGUGGGGAGCAAACAGG
rnacentral:rRNA from 1 species